rnacentral:rRNA from 1 species
GACGGAGGUUGCAAGUGUUAUCCGGAAUCACUGGGCGUAAAGCGUCUGUAGGUGGUUCGACAAGUCCACUGUUAAAAAUUGAGGCUUAACUCCAAAGAUGCCGUGGAAACUUUCAAACUAGAGUAUGGUAGGGGUAGAGGGAAUUUCCAGUGGAGCGGUGAAAUGCGUAGAUAUCGGAAGGAACGCCGGUGGCGAAAGCGAUCGACUGGACCUUUUCUGACGCUGAGGCGCGAAAGCCAGGGGAGCAAACGGG